UGGGGAAUAUUGCACAAUGGGCGCAAGCCUGAUGCAGCCAUGCCGCGUGUAUGAAGAAGGCCUUCGGGUUGUAAAGUACUUUCAGCGGGGAGGAAGGGAGUAAAGUUAAUACCUUUGCUCAUUGACGUUACCAGCAGAAGAAGCACCGGCUAACUCCGUGCCAGCAGCCGCGGUAAUACGGAGGGUGCAAGCGUUAAUCGGAAUUACUGGGCGUAAAGCGCACGCAGGCGGUUUGUUAAGUCAGAUGUGAAAUCCCCGGGCUCAACCUGGGAACUGCAUCUGAAACUGGCAAGCUUGAGUCUCGUAGAGGGGGGUAGAAUUCCAGGUGUAGCGGUGAAAUGCGUAGAGAUCUGGAGGAAUACCGGUGGCGAAGGCGGCCCCCUGGACGAAGACUGACGCUGAGGUGCGAAAGCGUGGGGAGCAAACAGG
rnacentral:rRNA from 1 species